CGGACGGGUGAGUAACGCGUGGAAAACCUGCCGUAUACUGGGGGAUAACACUUAGAAAUAGGUGCUAAUACCGCAUAAGCGCACAGCUUCGCAUGAAGCGGUGUGAAAAACUCUGGUGGUAUAUGAUGGUUCCGCGUCUGAUUAGCUAGUUGGUGGGGUAAUGGCCUACCAAGGCAACGAUCAGUAGCCGGCCUGAGAGGGUGAACGGCCACAUUGGGACUGAGACACGGCCCAAACUCCUACGGAAGGCAGCAG
rnacentral:rRNA from 1 species